rnacentral:piRNA from 1 species
GUAAUGUGCUGUAUCCCAAACGAGGGCA